CGCUCGCUCGCUCUCUCUACGGUUACAAAUACACGCGUGUCUUUCACCUUUGUUUCCAUUCCGACACCGCAGACCGUCGUCAAUUACCGUCGCGUUUCGGUCAGCCGCGAUGUCGCAUCGCGUUACCGGAUGUCGGCGUCAAGGUUGCAUUUCUGCAUCGGAUGAGCCUCGACGCUUGUGCGCCCGACGAGCGACGAGCAACGCGCGACGACGCGUCCACGCCAACGCGGCUCUCGUAUUUGCAAACGAAUCCCGCCAUAGAAUUAACUUUUACACUUUUUUACCUCUGUGCGGGGCCGCCGUGGGACCGGAUGGGAGUUUUUACGGUCGGCUCGCGUCACGUGUCGCUUUUUUCUGACCGGGAGAACCUUACCAUCUGAAAAUUCUAAUUUAAAUCCGAAUUCCCUAGCUCGGUGAUUCUCUAGCCUUCGAAGCGACUGAAAUCUUUCCUUCAAAAAUAAUUGCACGCAGCAUCUUUGCAGUGGUUUUCCAGGCUCGGUCAAUGGCUCGGGGUAGAUUUUUAUUUAGCGUUUCUCGGUCAUCUUAACAUUUGUUUAAAAGCUUUUCAUGCGGCCGCGGGAGACCGUAGCUCGGCGAUUGAGAUUGAGGGCUAACGGGCUGAUGCGACGAGCAUUUACUUUUCGAAACUCAAUCAUCGACUACUUAGAGCAGAGGUAGACGCAACUUUACUGUGAGCGCGUUACGUGACUACUCGGGUGUCAGGAUUAUGGUAGCGAGUGCGUCGCGCGGCUUCGAGGAAGGGGGCAAUCAAACAGAAAAUUCAUAAUCACGAUCUUAACAAGAAAAGUUGUAUAAAAAGCGACUGAAAAGUUGCCGAAGUUCCCGCCGCGCCGUCUCGUUUGUAAUCCCAACUCUCCUCAACCCUUCCUCAUCGCGGCGCUCUCGAAGCCUACUCAUAAUUACCAAAGUUAAUUUGCGAAUCGCAAUUUAAUUGGCCGGUUCUUGAAGGCUCCUUAAACUUCGUCUUUCGCCGAGAGGGCGAUUCCCCACGAAGGUUGCCGCAGUCUCGAUUCGCGUGAGAAAGAGAGACAGAGAGAGAGAGAGAGAGAGGGGUGAGGGGGAGCGAAAGAUGGAGAGAGCGUGUGAGAAAAAGAGCAUGGAAUCGAAAAUUUCGAUCGUAUCGGGGCAUCUGGCAUCGGACCUCGGACCGAAUGCACGUGGGAUUCGAAUGGCGAGGGGACGUCGUAAAAAUCAUUGAAAACGAAUCUGCUCGAAGAAGAUCAUCUCUGGCGGACAAAAUUCGCCGCAUGAAUCCGAGACGACGGUGGCUUUUCACCCGCGAAACUCGAUUCCGAGGGACGCGUGCGCGUGCUCGUGCUCCUGCGGUUCGAUGCUCAUCGCUGAUGUAAUAAUUAACGCGAGCAGCGAGACCGUCGAUGACCGGUCACGCCGGAAUAAAUCGAAGCAAUUCGUUCCAAUAGAUGCCGAUGUUUACAAUAUCCCCGAUGCCGACGACGACGACGACGGAACGUAGAUCGAUCAUGGUUGCGUUGGACAGACGGGCGAAGAACGACAACGCUCCCAGAUCGAACAAUUUCGUGCGACGAGCAGCCAUUUGCAAAACAACGACGAUUUUCUAUCCUCCAUGGAGCGUCUUCGGCUUUCUUCCUCGUUCCAGUUCUAAUCAACCAAUUGCGGUUUGCUUUGUUAUCUUCGGUCUACCAACUGCCAGCCUCAUAGAUGGAUUAGCAAGUAAACAGACUUGCGAGAUGGCAAUUGCAUUAUCCACCGGUCCGGCGCUGUUAUUUAUCCGAACUCAUCGAUCUUUCUUGUCUCCUAUCUUCAUCCCUUCUGCGCCGAACACCGUUGCCUCCUCCAGUAUUCUGCCGUUUCGAACUAAGAGUCGUUAUUUUUCUCGACGACAGGUAAUGGAUGUUCAGCAGCGCCCGGUGGUAUCUAGUAUCUAGUGUCUACCGUUUGUAUAUGUACCUAAGCGCAAUGCUAUCUGUGUAGUAAGCAUGUUUCGUAGAUACGGGCGCAAAGAUAACUACAUAGUUCGACAACGACGACGACGACGACGACGACAUCACCACGAACAGAUAGGGGGACAUUUCCCCGUAGUAAUUCGGUUUUAAUCAGGGAGCCCUAACAGACCAGGGAAGCUGAAAUGUCUUUUAUCACACACGAUUCUAUGCCGACGUAACGAUUAAAAAGUUCUCGGAGAAACUGAUUACAUUGCAUAUCGGUGUUGAACAACGUCUGCCAGCUUCGGGACCUUUCCGUUCGCUUGGUCGUUAGGCACUCAAAUUAAUUACUGCGUUGGAAGUUGAAAGAUAACGAAAUGGGAAUCGCGGUGGAGGAAACCGAAUCUUUCUGCGAUGAAACGGUGACCGUGGGACGCGGUGACGCGCGAUCGAACCGCGACGACUCGUGCUCAUGCGUGACGGGGUUGCAGGAAUCGAGAAAAGGGAGGAAAAAGUGAAGAAAAAAA